rnacentral:rRNA from 1 species
UACAGAGGGUGCGAGCGUUAAUCGGAAUUACUGGGCGUAAAGCGUGCGUAGACGGUAGCGUAAGUCAGAUGUGAAAGCCCCGGGCUCAACCUGGGAACUGCAUUUGAGACUGCUCUGCUCGGGUGCGGAAGAGGGAAGCGGAAUUUCCGGUGUAGCGGUGAAAUGCGUAGAUAUCGGAAGGAACACCAGUGGCGAAAGCGGCUUCCUGGACCGACACCGACGUUCAGGCACGAAAGCGUGGGGAGCAAACAGG